rnacentral:rRNA from 1 species
UACGAAGGGGGCUAGCGUUGCUCGGAAUUACUGGGCGUAAAGUGUGCGCAGGCGGCAGAGCAAGUCGAGUGUGAAAGCCCCGGGCUUAACUUGGGAAUUGCGCUCGAAACUACUUUGCUGGAGUGUGGCAGAGGAAGGUGGAAUUCCACGUGUAGCGGUGAAAUGCGUAGAGAUGUGGAGGAACACCAAUGGCGAAGGCAGCCUUCUGGGCCAACACUGACGCUCAGACACGACAGCAUGGGGAGCGAACGGG